rnacentral:rRNA from 1 species
AUGGAGACGGAGACGGAGACGAAGAGCCCAUGGAGAAGCUCCACCGAUAUCAUCGGCGGUAAGAAGGCGACGCCCACCUCCACCUUCGUGCAGUCACCCAGGAGGUGUUGCAGGAAAUUGAUAUUGGCCAUUCAGCAAAUGUAUUUUGCGCAAAAUUUAUUGAGGAAGCAUUUGAUGAAAUAUAAGUUUGAGAAGCAGGAGAUGACGAGGCGACCGCGUCGCCGCCCAUGGACAUCACUGGAGGAGGCGCGGAAGACGGGCUCCGACUCCUCGGAUUCAGACGAGGAAGGAGACGCCGUCGACGAGCUACGCAUCCAGGCCCUGGAGCGCACCAUGUUGGAGCAGCCUCUCGACUACGAUUCCCAUGUUCAGAUGCUAGAGACAUACAAGUUCUAUGUUGUAUCUUUCUUUCUGAAGAAGCGACAAUAUGCUCUUGUCAGUGUUAUUUUAUUGCUAUCCAUUGCCAUGUGCUACCAGAUCAGAAAAGAGAAGUGA